GCUGUCAAGAGAUGCUCAACAGUGUGGUUCCGGAAGUAAAAAGCCCAUCAAUUUUCUCAAUAAGGAUUUUGAUUAUUAGCCAUAAUUAGCCAAGUCUACCAUCCAAGGU